rnacentral:rRNA from 1 species
AGCAGCCGCGGUAAUUCCAGCUCCAAUAGCGUAUAUUAAAGUUGUUGCAGUUAAAAAGCUCGUAGUUGAAUUUCGGGGUCAGUAGGUUGGUCAUGCCUCCGGUAUGUACUGGUCUCACUGAUUCCUCCCUCUUGAUGAACCGUAAUGCCAUUAAUUUGGUGUUGCGGGGAAUCAGGACUGUUACUUUGAAAAAAUUAGAGUGUUUAAAGCAGGCAAGCGCUUGAAUACAUUAGCAUGGAAUAAUGAAAUAGGACGUUUGAUCCUAUUUUGUUGGUUUCUAGGAUUGACGUAAUGAUUAAUAGGGAUAGUUGGGGGCAUUAGUAUUCAAUUGUCAGAGGUGAAAUUCUUGGAUUUAUUGAAGACUAACUACUGCGAAAGCAUUUGCCAAGGAUGUUUUCAUUAAUCAAGAACGAAAGUUAGGGGAUCGAAGACGAUCAGAUACCGUCGUAG